UGAAUGUGGUGUCAAAAAGGGCAUAAAUAAAUGCUUUUUGGCCUUUCCUGUCCCUGGAGUUUGGUAUCUUGGGUGUAGGAGCUGCAAAAGUAACAGUA
rnacentral:snoRNA from 1 species